GACGAACGCUGGCGGCGUGCCUAAUACAUGCAAGUUGAGCGCUGAAGGUUGGUACUUGUACCAACUGGAUGAGCAGCGAACGGGUGAGUAACGCGUGGGGAAUCUGCCUUUGAGCGGGGGACAACAUUUGGAAACGAAUGCUAAUACCGCAUAAAAACUUUAAACACAAGUUUUAAGUUUGAAAGAUGCAAUUGCAUCACUCAAAGAUGAUCCCGCGUUGUAUUAGCUAGUUGGUGAGGUAAAGGCUCACCAAGGCGAUGAUACAUAGCCGACCUGAGGGGGUGAUCGGCCCCAUUGGGACUGAGACCCGGCCCAAACUCCUACGGGAGGCAGCAGUAGGGAAUCUUCGGCAAUGGACGAAAGUCUGACCGAGCAACGCCGCGUGAGUGAAGAAGGUUGUCGGAUCGUAAAACUCUGUUGGUAGAGAAGAACGUUGGUGAGAGUGGAAAGCUCAUCAAGUGACGGUAACUACCCAGAAAGGGACGGCUAACUACGUG
rnacentral:rRNA from 1 species